AGUGAACGCUGGCGGUAGGCCUAACACAUGCAAGUCGAACGGCAGCACAGUAAGAGCUUGCUCUUACGGGUGGCGAGUGGCGGACGGGUGAGGAAUACAUCGGAAUCUACUUUUUCGUGGGGGUUAACGUAGGGAAACUUACGCUAAUACCGCAUACGACCUACGGGUGAAAGCAGGGGAUCUUCGGACCGUGUGCGAUUGAAUGAGCCGAUGCCGGAUUAGCUAGUUGGCGGGGUAAAGGCCCACCAAGGGGACGAUCCGUAGCUGGUGUGAGAGGAGGAUAAGCCGCAUGAGAGGGGGGACACGGACCAGAGGCCUGCGGGAGGGAGCAGUGGGGAAUAGUGGACAAUAGGGGCAAGCAUGGUCCAGCCAUCCCAAGUGGGAGGAGGAGGCGUUGGGGUUGUGAUGACCUUUUGUUGGGAGAAAAAAGCAGCAGGUUAAUACCCCGCUGUUCUGACGGUACCCAAAAAAUAAGCACCGGCUAACUUCGUG
rnacentral:rRNA from 1 species